ACUCCGCAAAAAAAAAUGACUUUACCAAACCAAAAAAUGAAAGAAGAAAGAGCCCUAGCUCUCUAAUUUACUGUUACCAUUUCCAGUUGCAUCAACAACACCAUAAGCCAAAUACAACGAGAUAAGGACUUCACCAACACCAUAAGGAAAAUACAACGAGAAGCUUCCAUCUUCCUUCUAGGAACCAAGCAAGGUAUAAUCAAUUUUUUUGCAAAAAAAUAAAAAGGAUUUGAGUCUGUCAGAACACCGUGUGACCACCCCAGUUGGUAGGCACCAACUGAGAACGAUCAUCUACAGCUUGGAUGAUGACCACAACAUGCAGAUCAUCUGGACCGUUAAUCACGCUCUGAUCACACGGUCAUGAUUCAUCCACCAGACUUAUGUUCCUGUCUCCUUAGAAAUCAAGGACACAGUAGUACGAGCCUAUAGAACAGAUCCUGUUCAAGUAAGGACAAAAGCAUGCUGCUGAAACUUGUGUUCAAUACAGCUUCUCUGUUGCAAGAAGAAGCACAUGUUGGUUUUUGGGCUUGCCGGCGGCCGGUAUGGUGGAAAUUUGGCUCUCCGCCAUCCUAGAAGUGAGAACACAAGAUUGAGAACUUUUUUAUGAUGGCCUUUGAAAAUCCUUUCCUGUGAUUGGAUAAAACGUUUGAAAUCUUGAAAUGUUCAGCAGUCGCUCAGUUUGUAUACUCCUAUGUGCUUAACCAUUCUUGCAGGGUGUAUGUAUUUUUCUUUGAAAAGGUUAAAUGGAUCACCUUGUUGUUCAAUAAAGAGUACAGUUUGUUUUAUCUUUCAUUGGAAUUUGGUAUUUUUGUUUAUAAUGCUUGCAUAAUCUGCUGACCUGCGUUUGUACAAUAAGGUAAAGUCUCUCUCUUGCGAGGUGAGUUCUUAAUCAUGUGCUAUAUAUGUGUGCUCCUCUUCUCUUGUGAGACUUCAAGAUAUAAAAGGGUUCCCCAUGAUUGGCAUUUAGAAUUCUACUUAUUCUAGUUUCCAACUCGGAGGACAUUUUAGUUAUACCAACACUCGGAGGACAUUUUAGGUAUACACCUCAUUCCCAUUCGGUUCAGUUGAUUUUUCGUCGUAUGUUUGUAUUAUUAAUUGUUACCGAUAAUCAAUGGCUAGACACUCUACUCUGUCUUAGUUUGGUCUUGAAUAUUUUGUUACUCGUAUAUGAAAAAUCACCGUUGGAAAUGCAUUGAGGGACAAAAGAAAUCAAGUAGCUGGAUAAUUUACCGUUGUCUUUAGAAUGAACCGAUACAAUGUUAUCUAAGUCCCACAUCAGAAUUGUCAGAGUGAAUAGUACGAAACACGAGGUAUAAAACAUAAGUGUGUCCAUUACUCAUGAAAUUGGUUGAUAAUUAUUAAGUUGAUAAUUAUUAAUUUCAUAUAAUAAAGAAAUAAAAUAGGUAACCCUUGUUAAUCAUGGUAUAAAGCAUAUGGUGCAUGCAUGAUUUUCCUUUGAAUAUGUAAGCUUGUCACAUGUCAACCCAACAUUGUGAAUUUGUUAAUAAGAAACAAAGUGACUAUUGAGGUUUACUAUACCAACACUCGGAGGACAUUUCAGUUAUACACCUCAUUCCCAUUUUAUUAUUAUUAUCAUGGCAUGUAUAACAAAGCACCAUGUUUGGAACAAGUGUGACAAGCUUACAAAAUUUUAAGGAUAAUUCAUGUUGCUACCACAUGCUUACAUUGAUUAAGAGAGACUAGCUGUAUGUGCUGCAUUAUUAUUUUUGAAUGAAGGGUAAAUUUCUUGCUAUUAUAUAUAGUUAGUGUCAAAGAAGACGAAGUUGAUCAUACCAUUGAAGAAGAUGGAUGUUGAAUUUGAAGUAUCCCCAUUAUUGAAUGAAUAUUAUCAAAAAAUUCAUAGAUUUUCCAAUCUAUCAUAACUUUGUAAGUUAUAGCAACAUAGCCUUAUGCCUUCAUAGAAUUGAAUUAGGUUAUUGAUAAUAUCCUUCAAUGUUGCAACAAUUAAAUAUAACUAGCGGAACGAUUGCAAAAUCAUCUUUCACACAGUGCUCUUUUAUUAAUGACAUAGCAAAUUGCAUUGCUUCAUACAAGUCAUUUGCUACUUGAUACAACAAUUCAUUACUAGAUAUAUCCAUUGAACUAAUUUGUAUUUUU